rnacentral:rRNA from 1 species
CACGGGGGGAGCAAGCGUUGUUCGGAAUCACUGGGCGUAAAGGGCGUGUAGGCGGUCUGGUAAGUGGGAUGUGAAAUGCUCCGGCUCACCCGGAGAGGUGCAUCCCAUACUGCUAGACUUGAGUACGGGAGAGGAUGGGGGAAUUCCUGGUGUAGCGGUGAAAUGCGUAGAUAUCAGGAGGAACACCGGUGGCGAAGGCGCCCAUCUGGCCCGAUACUGACGCUGAGGCGCGAAAGCUAGGGGAGCAAACGGG